rnacentral:rRNA from 1 species
CCUAAGGGGGGCUGCAGUGGGGAAUAUUGGACAAUGGGGGCAACCCUGAUCCAGCCAUGCCGCGUGUGUGAAGAAGGCCCUCGGGUUGUAAAGCACUUUCAGUGAGGAAGAACGCCUGGUGGUUAAUACCCAUCAGGAAAGACAUCACUCACAGAAGAAGCACCGGCUAACUCCGUGCCAGCAGCCGCGGUAAUACGGAGGGUGCGAGCGUUAAUCGGAAUUACUGGGCGUAAAGCGCGCGUAGGUGGCUUGAUAAGCCGGUUGUGAAAGCCCCGGGCUCAACCUGGGAACGGCAUCCGGAACUGUCAAGCUAGAGUGCAGGAGAGGAAGGUAGAAUUCCCGGUGUAGCGGUGAAAUGCGUAGAGAUCGGGAGGAAUACCAGUGGCGAAGGCGGCCUUCUGGACUGACACUGACACUGAGGUGCGAAAGCGUGGGUAGCAAACAGGAUUAGAUACCCGUGUAGUC